rnacentral:rRNA from 1 species
CAGUAGCCGCGGGAAUACGUAGGUGGCAAGCGUUGUCCGGAAUUAUUGGGCGUAAGGGCUCGCAGGCGGUUUCUUAAGUCUGAUGUGAAAGCCCCCGGCUCAACCGGGGAGGGUCAUUGGAAACUGGGAAACUUGAGUGCAGAAGAGGAGAGUGGAAUUCCACGUGUAGCGGUGAAAUGCGUAGAGAUGUGGAGGAACACCAGUGGCGAAGGCGACUCUCUGGUCUGUAACUGACGCUGAGGAGCGAAAGCGUGGGGAGCGAACAGGAUUAGAUACCCCAGUAGUCCCUGUCUCUUAUACC